UGGCCGGCGAGAUUUAUUUGAACAAAUCAGAGUGCUCAACACAGGCGUCUCGCCUGAAUGUUCGUGCAUGGAAUAAUAGAAAAGGAUCACGGUCCUAUUUUAUUUGGUUUGCGGACUGAGGUAAUGGUUAACAGAGACAAACGGGGGCAUUCGUAUCGCUGCGUGAGAGGUGAAAUUCUUGGACCGCAGCGAGACGCACGACAGAGAAAGCAUUUGCCAAGCAUGUCUUCAUUAAUCAAGAACGAAAGUCAGAGGUUCGAAGGCGAUCAGAUACCGCCCUAGUUCUGACCGUAAACGAUGCCAACUAGCGAUCCGCCGGCGGAUUUCUCGCCCUGGUGGGGAGCUCCCGGAAACGAAAGUCUUCCGGUUCCGGGGGAAGUAUGGUUGCAAAGCUGAAACUUAAAGGAAUUGACGGAAGGGCACCACCAGGAGUGGAGCCUGCGGCUUAAUUUGACUCAACACGGGGAAACUCACCCGGGCCGGACACCGCGAGGAUUGACAGAUCGACAGCUCUUUCUUGAUUCGGUGGAUGGUGGUGCAUGGCCGUUCUUAGUUCGUGGAGCGAUUAGUCUGGUUUAUUCCGAUAACGAGCGAGACUGUAGCCUGGUAAAUAGUGGCGCAUUGCUCGUGCGCGCCACUUCUUAGAGGGAUGGGCGGCUCCCAGCCGCAAGAAACUGAGCAAUAACAGGUCUGUGAUGCCCUUAGAUGUCCGGGGCUGCACGCGCGCUACACUGGCGAAGGCAGCGUGCCUGUCCUGCCGCGAAGGCGGUGGGUAAUACCAUGGAAAAUUCGCCGUGACUUGGGAUCGCAGAUUGCAAUUAUUCUCCGUGAACGAGGAAUUCCAAGUAAGUGCGAGUCAUCAGCUCGCGUUGAUUACGUCCCUGCCCUUUGUACACACCGCCCGUCGCUG
rnacentral:rRNA from 1 species